rnacentral:rRNA from 1 species
GAUGAACGCUGGCGGCGUGCCUAAUACAUGCAAGUCGAGCGAAAAGACGAGGAGCUUGCUCCUCAGACGUUAGCGGCGGACGGGUGAGUAACACGUGGAUAACCUACCUAUAAGACUGGGAUCACUACGGGAAACCAGAGCUAAUACCGGAUCAUAUAUUGAACCGCAUGGUUCAAUAGUGAAAGACGGUUUUGCUGUCACUUAUAGAUGGAUCCGCGCCGCAUUAGCUAGUUGGUAAGGUAACGGCUUACCAAGGCAACGAUGCGUAGCCGACCUGAGAGGGGGAUAGGCCACACUGGAACUGAGACACGGUCCAGACUCCUACGGGAGGCAGCAUGAGGGAAUCUUCCGCAAUGGGCGAAAGCCUGACGGAGCAACGCCGCGUGAGUGAUGAAGGUUUUCGGAUCGUAAAACUCUGUUAUUAGGGAAGAACAAAUGUGUAAGUACCUAUGCACGUCUUGACGGUACCUAAUCAGAAAGCCACGGCUAACUACGUG